GAGGGUCUAGCUCAGUGGGUAAGCGCAUGCUUAGCAUGCAUGAGGUCAUGGGUUCGAUCCCCAGUACCUCCG
rnacentral:tRNA from 1 species